GUGCCUGUAGUUCAGCGGAUAGAACGUCAGGUUGCGGACCUGAAGAUCGGAGGUUCAAAUCCCCCCAGGCACA
rnacentral:tRNA from 1 species